rnacentral:rRNA from 1 species
UAUCCGCCUGGGAACUACGAGCAUUAGCUUAAAACCCAAAGGACUUGACGGUGCUUUAGAUCCAUCUAGAGGAGCCUGUUCUAGAACCGAUACUCCCCGUUUAACCUCACCUUUCCUUGUCCAAUUCCGUCUAUAUACCGCCGUCGUCAGCUUACCCUUUGAAGAACCUGUAGUGAGCACAAUCGGCACAGCCCAAAACGCCAGGUCGAGGUGUAGCGUAUGGAAAGGGAUAGAAAUGGGCUACAUUCAAUAAAUUUUAAUGAAUACGGAUGAUGUCCUGAAAAUGACAUCUGAAGGAGGAUUUAGCAGUAAGUAGAGAAUAGAGUGCUUUGCUGAAAUUCGGCUCUGAAGCGCGUACACACCGCCCGUCACUCUCUCCAAGCUUACAAAUAACCAUCACUAAUACACAAAGCCCGCAAAGGAGAGGCAAGUCGUAACAUGGUAAGCGUACCGGAAGGUGCGCUUGGCAAAACUUUUUCAGGGUAUAGCUUAACGCCAAAGCAUCUCUUUUACACUGAGACCAUACUUGUUAAAAUCAGGUUACCCCGAAACCUAGUAGCUAGCCCCCAACCCCCUGAAACCAAUUAACCACCCUUAAUUAACCCCAAACGCACUAAAAGCACAAAACAAACCAUUUUUCCCUCUGAGUAUAGGAGAUAGAAAAGAAACCAGGAGCAAUAGAGAAAGUACCGCAAGGGAAUGCUGAAAGAGAAAUG